UUUCGGAGCUGUGCGGCACGCUGAGCAGGAAUGGCAAUGUGGACCUCUGUGAUGGGACAUCUUGUGGGAUCUCACAGCCAGUUCUGUGGCAAAGGAGGAUGAAGGCUUACGAGGACUCGUCAGGAAGCUGGAUAACAGAACAAGUGCAAUGUGCUAGAAGACCAGAAAAUGAAAUGGUGGAGUUUGAGGCUGGAUAGACAGUUUGAAAGGUACAAAUGAUGGUUUGAAUAAAGGUAAGCAUUGUAAGUUUGGUAUUUACUAUAUGAAUUAAGGUACUGUUAGUGAUGACCAAUAAAGUUAAACAGAUGGGAAUCUCUCUGAAUAAGAUUGAAGAUUGAUUGUUAAGCUGAAACAGUAUUUAAGAACAUCAGUAAAUAUAGUUUACAAAUACAUAUUUCUAAAUGGAGUGUAAUUUCUUACAGGUAUAACGCACGGGUCGCCUCAAGUGAAGGCACUGCAAACAAAAUGAUUGGUCAUUCUGAAUUUCCGGUCCUUCAUUCUGAAUUUCAAAGGCUCCUGUGACAAGUGGACAU
ensembl:processed_transcript Gas5 growth arrest specific 5